AUUGAACGCUGGCGGCAUGCUUUACACAUGCAAGUCGAACGGUAACAGGGUGCUUGCACCGCUGACGAGUGGCGAACGGGUGAGUAAUGCGUCGGAACGUGCCGAGUAGUGGGGGAUAACGCAGCGAAAGUUGUGCUAAUACCGCAUACGUAAUGAGGUAGAGAGUGGGGGACCUUCGGGCCUCACGCUAUUCGAGCGGCCGACGUCUGAUUAGCUAGUAGGUGAGGUAAAGGCUCACCUAGGCGACGAUCAGUAGCGGGUCUGAGAGGAUGAUCCGCCACACUGGGACUGAGACACGGCCCAGACUCCUACGGGAGGCAGCAGUGGGGAAUUUUGGACAAUGGGCGAAAGCCUGAUCCAGCCAUGCCGCGUGUGUGAAGAAGGCCUUAUGGUUGUAAAGCACUUUAAGCGAGGAGGAGGCUCCUUUGGUUAAUACCCAAGAUGAGUGGACGUUACUCGCAGAAUAAGCACCGGCUAACUCUGUGCCAGCCGCCGCCGUAA
rnacentral:rRNA from 1 species